rnacentral:rRNA from 1 species
AGAUCCAAUAACGUAUAUUAAAUUUGUUGCAGUUAAAAAGCUUGUAGUUGAACUUGUGGUUUGUUUGGCUUGGUCUGACGCUCAUGCGUUGAUACCUGAGCCAUGCUCCCAUCCUUGAGUGUAACCUGUGUGGCAUUAGGUUGUCGUGCAGGGGAUGCCCAUUGUUUACUGUAAAAUAAUUAGAGUGUUCAAAGCAGGCUUAUGCCAUUGAAUAUAUUAGCAUGGAAUAAUAAGAUAGGACUUUAUUACUAUUUUGUUGGUUUUUGCACUAAAGUAAUGAUUAAUAGGGACAGUUGGGGGUAUUCGUAUUCCAUUGUCAGAGGUGAAAUUCUUGGAUUUUUGGACAACGAACUACUGCGAAAGCAUUUACCAAGGAUGUUUUCA